AUUGAACGCUGGCGGCGGGCUUAACACAUGCAAGUCGAGCGGGGUGAUGGUGCUUGCACUAUCACUUAGCGGCGGACGGGUGAGUAAUGCUUAGGAAUCUGCCUAUUAGUGGGGGACAACAUCUCGAAAGGGAUGCCAAUACCGCAUACGUCCUACGGGAGAAAGCAGGGGAUCUUCGGACCUUGCGCUAAUAGAUGAGCCUAAGUCGGAUUAGCUAGUUGGUGGGGUAAAGGCCUACCAAGGCGACGAUCUGUAGCGGGUCUGAGAGGAUGAUCCGCCACACUGGACUGAGACACGGCCCAGACUCCUACGGGAGGCAGCAGUGGGGAAUAUUGGACAAUGGGGGGAACCCUGAUCCAGCCAUGCCGCGUGUGUGAAGAAGGCCUUAUGGUUGUAAAGCACUUUAAGCGAGGAGGAGGCUACUCUAGUUAAUACCUAGGGAUAGUGGACGUUACUCGCAGAAUAAGCACCGGCUAACUCUGUGCCAGCAGCCGCAGUAA
rnacentral:rRNA from 1 species